rnacentral:rRNA from 1 species
GGGUUGUGAGGUUAAGCGACUAAGCGUACACGGUGGAUGCCCUGGCAGUCAGAGGCGAUGAAGGACGUGCUAAUCUGCGAAAAGCGCCGGCGAGGUGAUAUGAACCCUUGACCCGGCGAUGUCCGAAUGGGGAAACCCAGUGCAAUUCGUUGCACUAUCGUUAACUGAAUACAUAGGUUAACGAGGCGAACCGGGGGAACUGAAACAUCUAAGUACCCCGAGGAAAAGAAAUCAACCGAGAUUCCCCCAGUAGCGGCGAGCGAACGGGGAGCAGCCCAGAGUCUGAAUCAGCUUGUGUGUUAGUGGAAGCGUCUGGAAAGUCGCACGGUACAGGGUGACAGUCCCGUACACGAAAAUGCACAGGUUGUGAACUCGAAGAGUAGGGCGGGACACGUGGUAUCCUGUCUGAAUAUGGGGGGACCAUCCUCCAAGGCUAAAUACUCCUGACUGACCGAUAGUGAACCAGUACCGUGAGGGAAAGGCGAAAAGAACCCCGGCGAGGGGAGUGAAAAAGAACCUGAAACCGUGUACGUACAAGCAGUGGGAGCACCUUCGGGUGUGACUGCGUACCUUUUGUAUAAUGGGUCAGCGACUUAUAUUCUGUAGCAAGGUUAACCGUAUAGGGGAGCCGAAGGGAAACCGAGUCUUAACUGGGCGUUAAGUUGCAGGGUAUAGACCCGAAACCCGGUGAUCUAGCCAUGGGCAGGUUGAAGGUUGGGUAACACUAACUGGAGGACCGAACCGACUAAUGUUGAAAAAUUAGCGGAUGACUUGUGGCUGGGGGUGAAAGGCCAAUCAAACCGGGAGAUAGCUGGUUCUCCCCGAAAGCUAUUUAGGUAGCGCCUCGUGAACUCAUCUUCGGGGGUAGAGCACUGUUUCGGCUAGGGGGCCAUCCCGGCUUACCAACCCGAUGCAAACUACGAAUACCGAAGAAUGUUAUCACGGGAGACACACGGCGGGUGCUAACGUCCGUCGUGAAGAGGGAAACAACCCAGACCGCCAGCUAAGGUCCCAAAGUCAUGGUUAAGUGGGAAACGAUGUGGGAAGGCCCAGACAGCCAGGAUGUUGGCUUAGAAGCAGCCAUCAUUUAAAGAAAGCGUAAUAGCUCACUGGUCGAGUCGGCCUGCGCGGAAGAUGUAACGGGGCUAAACCAUGCACCGAAGCUGCGGCAGCGACACUAUGUGUUGUUGGGUAGGGGAGCGUUCUGUAAGCCGUUGAAGGUGACCUGUGAGGGCUGCUGGAGGUAUCAGAAGUGCGAAUGCUGACAUAAGUAACGAUAAAGCGGGUGAAAAGCCCGCUCGCCGGAAGACCAAGGGUUCCUGUCCAACGUUAAUCGGGGCAGGGUGAGUCGACCCCUAAGGCGAGGCCGAAAGGCGUAGUCGAUGGGAAACAGGUUAAUAUUCCUGUACUUGGUGUUACUGCGAAGGGGGGACGGAGAAGGCUAUGUUAGCCGGGCGACGGUUGUCCCGGUUUAAGCAUGUAGGCGGAGGUUCCAGGUAAAUCCGGUACCUUUUAACGCUGAGGUGUGAUGACGAGGCACUACGGUGCUGAAGUAACAAAUGCCCUGCUUCCAGGAAAAGCCUCUAAGCAUCAGGUAACACGAAAUCGUACCCCAAACCGACACAGGUGGUCAGGUAGAGAAUACCAAGGCGCUUGAGAGAACUCGGGUGAAGGAACUAGGCAAAAUGGUGCCGUAACUUCGGGAGAAGGCACGCUGAUAUGUAGGUGAAGCCCCUGCGGGUGGAGCUGAAAUCAGUCGAAGAUACCAGCUGGCUGCAACUGUUUAUUAAAAACACAGCACUGUGCAAACACGAAAGUGGACGUAUACGGUGUGACGCCUGCCCGGUGCCGGAAGGUUAAUUGAUGGGGUUAGCGGCAACGCGAAGCUCUUGAUCGAAGCCCCGGUAAACGGCGGCCGUAACUAUAACGGUCCUAAGGUAGCGAAAUUCCUUGUCGGGUAAGUUCCGACCUGCACGAAUGGCGUAAUGAUGGCCAGGCUGUCUCCACCCGAGACUCAGUGAAAUUGAACUCGCUGUGAAGAUGCAGUGUACCCGCGGCAAGACGGAAAGACCCCGUGAACCUUUACUAUAGCUUGACACUGAACACUGGUCCUUGAUGUGUAGGAUAGGUGGGAGGCUUUGAAGCGUGGACGCCAGUCUGCGUGGAGCCAACCUUGAAAUACCACCCUUUAAUGGCUGGUGUUCUAACGUAGACCCGUGAUCCGGGUUGCGGACAGUGUCUGGUGGGUAGUUUGACUGGGGCGGUCUCCUCCCAAAGAGUAACGGAGGAGCACGAAGGUUAGCUAAUCCUGGUCGGACAUCAGGAGGUUAGUGCAAUGGCAUAAGCUAGCUUGACUGCGAGAGUGACGGCUCGAGCAGGUGCGAAAGCAGGUCAUAGUGAUCCGGUGGUUCUGAAUGGAAGGGCCAUCGCUCAACGGAUAAAAGGUACUCCGGGGAUAACAGGCUGAUACCGCCCAAGAGUUCAUAUCGACGGCGGUGUUUGGCACCUCGAUGUCGGCUCAUCACAUCCUGGGGCUGAAGUAGGUCCCAAGGGUAUGGCUGUUCGCCAUUUAAAGUGGUACGCGAGCUGGGUUUAGAACGUCGUGAGACAGUUCGGUCCCUAUCUGCCGUGGGCGCUGGAGAAUUGAGGGGGGCUGCUCCUAGUACGAGAGGACCGGAGUGGACGCAUCACUGGUGUUCGGGUUGUCAUGCCAAUGGCACUGCCCGGUAGCUAAAUGCGGAAGAGAUAAGUGCUGAAAGCAUCUAAGCACGAAACUUGCCCCGAGAUGAGUUCUCCCUGAGACUUAAAGUCUCCUGAAGGAACGUUGAAGACGACGACGUUGAUAGGUCGGGUGUGUAAGCGCAGCGAUGCGUUGAGCUAACCGAUACUAAUGAACCGUGAGGCUUAACCUUACAACGCCGAAG